UGAGUCUGGUUUCUCUUUAUGACGCACAAGUCUUUUGCGUUUUAUUAAAGACUACCGUGAAGAGGAACACCAUUGAGUUAAAUCUAUUUUUGGUAGGCUUUGCCAUGUGGCUGAGCA